rnacentral:rRNA from 1 species
UACGUAGGGGGCUAGCGUUGUCCGGAUUUAUUGGGCGUAAAGCGUGCGCAGGCGGUGAUGUAAGACAGGUGUGAAAUCCCCGGGCUUAACCUGGGAACUGCAUUUGUGACUGCAUUGCUGGAGUGCGGCAGAGGGGGAUGGAAUUCCGCGUGUAGCAGUGAAAUGCGUAGAUAUGCGGAGGAACACCGAUGGCGAAGGCAAUCCCCUGGGCCUGCACUGACGCUCAUGCACGAAAGCGUGGGGAGCAAACAGG